AUUGAACGCUGGCGGCAUGCUUUACACAUGCAAGUCGAACGGCGGCGCGGGCUUCGGCCUGGCGGCGAGUGGCGAACGGGUGAGUAAUGCAUCGGAACGUGCCCAGUAGUGGGGGAUAGCCCGGCGAAAGCCGGAUUAAUACCGCAUACGACCUGAGGGUGAAAGCGGGGGACCGAAAGGCCUCGCGCUAUUGGAGCGGCCGAUGUCGGAUUAGCUAGUUGGUGGGGUAAAGGCUUACCAAGGCGACGAUCCGUAGCUGGUCUGAGGGGACGACCAGCCACACUGGGACUGAGACACGGCCCAGACUCCUACGGGAGGCAGCAGUGGGGAAUUUUGGACAAUGGGGGCAACCCUGAUCCAGCCAUGCCGCGUGCGGGAAGAAGGCCUUCGGGUUGUAAACCGCUUUUGUUCGGGAAGAAAUCCUCUGGGCUAAUACCCCGGGGGGAUGACGGUACCGGAAGAAUAAGCACCGGCUAACUACGUG
rnacentral:rRNA from 1 species